GAAUUAGGAGAUUAUUUGGCCUCCAAGCCUAUACACAUACAUUAAUACUUGUUGUAUAUAAUUGUAUUAUUAUUGAAUAUUGAGAGUAUAUCAUACAAUGGGCUAGAGAACAACAACAACAACAACUACCCAGUAUAUUCCCACCAGGUGGGAGUCUGGGGAGGGCAAUAUGUAGACAAGCGUUUGGGCCUACUAUUACAGAUUCGGGCUCUUAUUUUCGGGUCUUUUAUUUGACCCAUUUGUACAGGAUAUAUAUCUGGUAGAGUCUUCUGGAAGACACCAGAUUUCAUUUUCUCUCUGAAAGUCAAGAGGGUUUUCUCUCAUCUCCUCUCUCUUCUUUCUCGGUUUUCAUCUUCGAUUCACCAUGUUAACAUGGUAUCAGAGCAUGUUUCUUCCUCUCGCACACAGUAUACAUCGGUUUGAUUCUUCGGUUUGGAUUUCUGGUGAUAUCGGAGAUGAUUUUGUGGUUCUCUUGAUUUUUCUUAACCGACUGUAAGAUCGGUGAUGAUCUGUGGGUGAUUUCGUCAAGCGUGGUGUUAGGGUGAUUUUCCGACACCUUCUCUGCUCGAUUUCAUCAACUUUUCUAAGAGUUAGGGCAUUUGUGCAAACUUAGUGACGAUUUCUGGUUAAUCUCCAUUCGAUCAUGGUGUUAGGGUGAGAUUUCCAGAGCGUGGUGUUAGGGUGAUUUUCCGACACCUUCUCUGCUCGAUUUCAUCAACUUUUCUAAGAGUUAGGCAUUCGUGCAAACUCAGUGACGAUUUCUGGUUAAUCUCCAUUCGAGCAUGGUGUUAGGGUGAUUUUCCGAUGCCUUAUGUGCUCGAUUUCAUCAAACUUCCCUUCAAGCUAGGGUUUUCGUGUUGUCUGAAGGCCGUAACUUCUCCGGUAGCGUAGAAGUCUGGUAACCCUAAUUUCUUUUCUCGAGUAGCACUUAUCUGUGCUGUGUUGUUGAAUUAGUUGCUGUAUUGUGUGCCUUAUAGAUAUUGUAUCAUAUUCUAUCAUUUUUGUUGCUUUGUCUCUGUUUGCAAUCAUGGAUCCUGUCAAUCCACCACCUCUUGACCCUACCAGUCCCCUAUAUGUCUACUCUUCUGAUGUACCUGGUGUCUCACUGGUACCCACUCCCUUCUCGGGUAGUGGUUACGGGGGUUGGAAAAGAAAAAUGGUGGUUGCUUUGUCCGCUAAGAAUAAAAUUGGUUUCAUUGACGGAACUUGUCCUAGACCAGACACUAACUUGCCUGAGCAGAAAUUGUGGGAUAGAUGCAAUUAUAUGGUCAUAUCUUGGUUGAGUGCCUCUUUGUCUCCUUCAAUUGCUGAAAGUGUCCAGUAUUCUGAAACUGCACAGAAUAUAUGGACACAACUUGAGGCUAGGUAUGGGACAGCUAGUAGAACAAAAAUUUUUGAGCUGAAAAGAGAACUUUCUCAAUUAUCUCAGGGUUCUCUAGAUAUAGCAUCCUACUUUAAUAAACUCAAAGGAUUAUGGGAUGAGUUAGAUACAAUAUGUCCAAAUCAUGGUCAGAGGUGUAUUUGUGCUGGUAAGACUGGGAUUAUAAAGGAGGAUGAGGAAAACAAAGUGUUUCAGUUCCUCAUGGGUCUGAAUGACUCAUACUUGUGGGUAAGAAGCAAUCUGCUAAUGAUGCAACCCCCUCCUAGCCUUGACAGUGUGUACAACAUUCUUCUCAAUGAUGAAAAACAGAGACAGGUUCAGUUUGUCUCCCAGUUCAAUUCUGAUUCCAUGUCCUUCACUGUCAGCACACAUAAUUCUACUGCACCUAAGCUCAAACAGUUCUCACAGAGGGUAAAUUUUGAUCAGUCUAAAGGGUCUCCUUUCUGCAAAUAUUGCAAGAAGUCUGGACACUUAGUUGAUAAGUGUUACAAACUUCAUGGAUUUCCUCAAGGGAUGAGAUUUGAUAAGGGAAAGAGAUCUCCUGCUGCAACUACUGCUGCCCUUGCCACGUCUUUUCCUUCUUCUGAUGGGGAAAAUUGUCAUAUCUUUGGAUCUCCUGUUGAGAGUCAUGGCUCUGUGAUUCAUGGUUUGAGCAGAGAACAUUAUGAUCAACUGAUGAGCUUAUUGCAACAGUCCAAAUUGGGGGACUCCAAUGCUCAAACUUCAUCUGCUAUGUGUUCUGCCGAUUUUGCUGGUACAUUACUUUCUCAUAGUCCUGUUUCUAAUUCCAAAUUGUGUCUAGCUACCCACAUUAAUUAUGUCUCUUGGAUAAUAGAUUCAGGAGCCUCUGACCACAUGACAUCUAAUAAACAAUUACUCUUCAACAUUACACCAUUACUUGUACCUUAUCUUGUAACCCUUCCUAAUUGUUACAAGGUAAAGGUCACCUCCACUGGCUCUUUUGCCCUAACCUCUUCCAUCAUUCUUCAUAAUGUGCUAUUUGUUCCAUCUUUCAAACAUAAUCUAAUCUCUGUCAGUAAAAUAGUAAAACAGUUACACUGUAUUGUUCUAUUUACUGCCACUUCUUGUUUCCUUCACAUGUUACAGGCCCCUUCUCGGAAGAUGCCUCUGGAUCUUGGUAAGGAAGAGAAUGGUCAGUACAAAUUUGCCUGGCAGCCUCCUUCUUCUAUUUCUGAUACUUGUUCC
rnacentral:lncRNA from 1 species